AAUCAACGCUGGCGGCGUGCCUCAGACAUGCAAGUCGAACGAUUAAAGCUCUCUUCGGAGAGUGUAUAGAGUGGCGCACGGGUGAGUAACACGUAAGUAAUCUACCUUCGAGUGGGGAAUAACAUCGGGAAACCGAUGCUAAUACCGCAUAAUGCAGCGGCAUCGCAAGAUGACAGUUGUUAAAGGAAUUUAUUUCGCUUGAAGAGGGGCUUGCGGCAGAUUAGCUAGUUGGUAAGGUAGUGGCUUACCAAGGCUACGAUCUGUAACCGGUCUAAGAGGACGGUCGGUCACACUGACACUGAAUAACGGGUCAGACUCCUACGGGAGGCAGCAGUCGGGAAUUUUUGGGCAAUGGGCGAAAGCCUGACCCAGCAACGCCGCGUGAAGGAUGAAGUAUUCGGUAUGUAAACUUCGAAAGAAUAGGAAGAAUAAAUGACGGUACUAUUUAUAAGAUCCGGCUAACUACGUGCCAGCAGCCGCCGUAAAAACCCGAGACUGCCAAAGGCACAC
rnacentral:rRNA from 1 species